rnacentral:lncRNA from 1 species
UUUCUUGGGCACGACUUGAGUAGGACUCACCCACUUGCUGUCGAAAAUCGGGUAAAUAAUACCCACAUCAAGCAACUUAAGGACUUCUGUUUUAACCACGUCUCUCAUUGUCGGAUUCAGCCUACGCUGCAUUUGCCUUGUGGUUUUCGCAUUAUCCUCCAAAUAUAUCUGUUGCCCAAGGUGACAACCCAAGAGGGGGGGUGAAUUGGGUCUUUUAAAACUUUUAAACUACUUCUAAAACUUUUUGAUUAACUAUGCUAAGUUGUCUAGAUGCACAGUGAAAGUUAAACUUAGCAAGGGUUUGAUGUAUAGACUUCGACUUGAUUAAAUAUGCUUGCAACUAAAGGAUGUGCGGAUAAGAAUUAAGCAAGCAAUUU